AUUUAGGGUACAAGUGGUUUUUGGUUACCUGGAUGAAUUAUAUAGUGGUGAAUUCUGAGAUUUUAGUGCACCUGUCACCUGAGUAGUAUAUACUGUAUAUAUUGUACCAAAUAGGUAGUUUUUUCACCCCCAUCCACUCCCAUCCUCUGCUUGUGAGUCUCCGAAGUCCAUUAUAUCACUCUGUAUGCCUUUGCAUAUGCAUAGCUUAGCUCCCACUUAUAAGUGAGAAAUAAUGGUAUUUGAUUUUCCAUUCCUGAGUUAUUUCACUUAGAAUAAUGGCCUCCAGCUUCAUUCAAGUUUCUGCAAAAGACAUUUCAUUCCUGAGGUGCUGACCUUGGGUUUACUGGACACAUCUCAGAGACAGGGCAGAGGAUGAGGGCAAGACCCCUCUAAGGCACUCCCCCACGCCCUACCACUCCUGCUCUGGAAGGACCCCUGAAGGGCACUGGAAGGGUUGGACUUCUCAGUGCAAGCCAACACCCACACCUGUGAGUACCAACAGACCCAGAGAGCAGCAGGAGCCCCUCACUUCUGAGAACCCCUCCCAGGAUGUCAAGACUUAAGCCAGGGAGUAGAGAGAAUCAGUCUCUCAGACCCAGAGAGGAUUCAGGGAAAGGGCACAGGAGGCCCCAGCCCAGAGCCAGAACACAGUUCAGCUCAGUGUGGGAACUCACAGCAUGGAGUGGAUGGCCCUGCACGGCUGAAGAGACCAGUGUGAGGGGGCGUCUCACCCAUUGUGGAGUCAGGCCCUUAUAUUAGGUGGCGAGAGGGUGAGGUGAGAGUUACAGCCCUUCCCAGCUGAGUUCUGGACCAGGGCUGGAGCCCAGGCCAAACAUCCCUGGGGAAAGGGCGUGAGGCAGGAAGCCCUGAGCCAAGUUGAACACUGGGGUGCUGUCCCCGGCGCAGCCUGGGAUGCACCCAUGCCACAGUCUGCACACACCCCUUACUCUGAAAUUAACAGCCGGUAGGGGUGUCCUCAGUAUCAGAACAAGUGGGCCACACAAAGCCCUCGAGGACUCCAGGAACCCAGUUCCAUGGGGUGCAGCCCUGCAAGGGCCAGAUGGGCUGGGUAGAAAAGCUGACCAAGUCUUCCUUCCUUCCAUCCAAAUCUGGAAGAAAGGCCCCUGGCCUGGAGCAGUAUUCCUGGUAUCCAGGCCUCUGUGGGCAUCCCUCAGCACAAAGACCCUCUCCAAGGGGGAUGGGACGGCCCUUCCAGGACCACCGGCCCAGCUCCAGAAGCCCAUGGGUGAUCCCCACCGUCACCUGACUGAGCUGUCCCUGAGGCUAAGGCCCAGCAGCAUGAAGGGACUCCCACAGAAACCAGGGCAGUAGGCUGCUCUCUGGCGGCACUGGGGGAGCAGGGUCUGGCUAACCUGUCCCUGGCUCAGGACACAUGCCUGGAAAUUAGGGUUUUCCCCUCUGCUCUUAACAUCGCCUGGGUAAACCAAAAAUUACCCUCCCUCAUGUCUCAAAAUUCACAUCUAUGUAAAAGUUGCUGGUGAGGGUGACAUUUCCAGGAAGCCACAGCCCAUGUCACGCCCCUGCAAAGUUGUGACCUUAUCCGCGGACAGGUCAGGCGGCAGAGUUCUCCCAAAAGCGGGUGAACUGGCGCUCUGGCUGGAGGGUGUAGAGGGCAGCAGCACAAUGGACAGCGUCUGGGACCUCAGGCCAGUUCCACAGCAGCUUAGGAAAGCAGGCGGCCCCCUGGGCUGGAGGAGGGGCGACGCUUUUGAGGGAAACCGAGCUGAGCAGCGGGAGGUGGAGUGAGGCUGAGACCCGUCCGAUUUGGGCAAAGGCGAGAUGCACUUCGCAGCGUCACACCCUCCUCACUGCCCAGCACAGACCCACCCCUCAAGUCCCUCUCCGGACUCAAUCCCCUUAGCCAGGGUGGCACAGAAUGAGGGGCCAGCGUAGGUUUGGAAGCCGAGAGGUCCACACGGCCCAGCUCCUCCCUCUGAGGCUGCGCACCACCCCCGAGCCCGGCGCUUGCUGGGACUGUGGGCCGGUAGCCCUGCGACCAAUGGCCGAAAGCGGUUAAAAAAACUACUCCUCCCAAGCUUGCAGUGAGCCGAGAUCGCGCCACUGCACUCCAGGCUGGGCGACAGAGCGAGACUCUGUCUCAAAGAAAAAAGCAAAAAACAACAAAAGAAACUACUCCUCCCAGCAUGCCUUACGAGGCGCGCACCGCCCUCUCCAGGUAUCAUCACCAACCCAUUCCCCUUGCAUGCUGGGAUUGUAGUCUCGCAGCCCUGCGAACAACGGCCGAAAGCGGUGAAGAAACUACUUCUCCCAGCAUGCCUGGCGAGGCGCGCCCCGCGCUGCCCCCCCAGGUGUCCUCACCAACCCCACUCCCGUUGCAUGCUGGGAUUGUAGUCCCGCAGCCUUGCGACCAACGGCCGGAAGCGGCUAAGACACUACUCCUGCCAAAUACCCUGCAGUAGCGCACCGCGCUAUGUCUCCCUCCAGGGAUCUGUACCACUCCCAAUCCUGUUUCGUGCUGGGAUUGUAGUCUUGUAAACCUACAACUAACACCUGGGUGCGGAUAAGAGACUACAGCUCCCAUCAUUCCCAGCAAAGGGCCGUUCUGCACCGAGCUCUUUCAGGAUUCCAGUGCAGUUCCGCCAUGCGGAGGGAAGCUUGGCUGUUCACAAACCUCUCCUGCACUCGAGGAGACAGCUUGGCCGGGGCAGCUGAUCUCACCUUGUCAUUGUGACACGGUGUCUCCCCAACGUGCCGACUUCAUGACCUGUCGUGCCCAAAGUUUACUUUCUCGCAGAACAGGUAGAGGCCAAGAGCUUCUCACAGCUUCCGCCGCAGGGCUGCCAUGAUUAACUCUUAAGUACUCCACGCUUCUGAAACGGGCGUAGGCACAGCGUCAGUUCUGUACAGUGCGGACGCAGCAGGACAGAAUCUCCCUGGGCAUCUUUCCGGAGCAUCAGUUUUACUGCAAGAUUUUAAGAAACAAAUUUAAUUGAUUUCCAAGUUAAGAAAUUAAACCUUGAAAACUAGACUAAAAAGUCAUCUGCACCUGACGUAACAGACUUUCUGCAGGAAGAAAACUCUAAGGAGAGCAUAUUGUCCAUUAUUAUAAAUAGUGAAAAUGAGAAAUCAUAGCAAGUCCCUUGAAAACCCUGCCCUGCCAGUCUUCUAAUAGGGCCUUGGUAUGGUUUUAUGUGUAUUUUCUUUUUGAAGUGUGCUCACCUUUUGAAUAUACAAAUUUGGGGUUUUGACCAAAUUUUGCAAGUUUUCGGCUAUUGUUUAUUUGCUUUUGUAUCAUAUUUAAUUUUUCUGUCUCUCCCUCUCCUUCUCGUACUCAGUCAUUCCACAGGUCUCCAAGGCGCUUUUCAUUUUCUUCAAACUUAUUUCACUCUUCAGAUUGGAUGAUUUCUAUUGCUGUCUUCUGUUUCUACUGUUUAUAAACUCAACGGUCUUUUUAAUUUUUCAUUUCAUUAUCUCUCUAUUCCAUUCUUUUCAUCAUUUCCAUUUCUCUGCUCAGGCUCCACAUGAGUUAAUUCAUUAUGAGGAUGUUUUCCUUUAUCCCCAUGAACAUACUAUACUUAUAAUAGCUGCUCUCAAACCCUUGUCUGCUGAUGACAUCGUCUUGGACAUCUUAGAAUUAGCUUCUGCUGCCUGCUUUUUAUCUUGUGUAUAGAUUACAUUUUAACGUUUCUUCACACAUUUCAUGAAUUUUAAUAUUGUGUACUAGAAAUUAUAAAUAGUAGUUAGAGAGACUUUAAAUUCUGUUGUAUUCCUUUGAAGAGCAUUGUUAUUUGAAGAGGGGUUAAUCUGACUGGAUUCAAACAGCAAUACCUACCUCCCCUACAGUGGACACAGUUGAAAUCCUCAUUCGGUGAACACACACACGCAUGUAUUGUAUAUAGUGGUGCAUUUCUGUGUAACUAUAUAUAUUUUGUGCAGAUUUUAUCAUUGUUACCUGUGAGAGUGUUCAACAAGCUACUCUGGCAUUACUGAAAGUCAGAACCUCAGUUUUGUUUGCUUAUUGGAUUUGAAUACAUAAUGCCUUUGUUUUCUUUUGUAACAUUUUUCAAUUUGAAGUCUUAUUUUGUCUGGUAUUAAUAUAGGACAACCCAAAUCUCUUUUGCUUAUUAUUUGCAUGAAAUAUCUGUUUUUCUCUUUUCACUUUCAACCAGUUGUGUCUUUCAAUCUAAUGUGAGUCUUGUACAAACAUGAUAGUUGCAUCAUGGUUUUUAGUCUGUUCUGCUGAUCUCUGCCUUUUAAUUCGAUAGUUCAAUCCAUUUACAUUUAAAAUAAUUAUUCAUAGGUAGAUUUCUGUCAUUUUGCUAUUUGUUUUCUGUAUACCUUACGUCUUUUUAUUUUACAUUUUCUACAUUAUUUUCUUCUUAUGUAUUGGGUUGAUUUUUUUUAGUAAAAUAUUUUAACUUUUUAUUUCCUUUGUGUAUAUUCUAUAGCUUCUUUUUGUGAUUACCAUCAUGGUGAUGACAUUUAACAUCUGAAUUUAUUUAUUUUAAUUGCUGCAUAGUACUAUAUUCAAUUAUAUGAACAUAGUAUAAUUUUUAAAUCUAUUCUACUUUUGAUAGUCAUCACUGGGAUAUUUAAUAUGACUUAUUUUUUAGAUGAGUAUCGAGUUUACAUAAACAUUGAGCGGAACGUACAGAGUUCCCAUAUAUCCUCUCCCCACACCCAGCUUCUCCUCUAUUAUUAACACCUUACAUUAGUGUGGCAUAUUUGUUACUCUUAAUGAACUAAUAUAGAAAAGUUAUUAACUAAAAUCUAAAGUUUGCAUUCGAAUUCAUGUUUUCUGUUUUACAUUCUGUGGAUUUUGACAAAUGCAUGAUGACAUGACAUGUAUCCAUUAUUGCAUUAUACGAAAUAGUUUUAUUGUCUUAAAAUAUCCACUGUACUCCAUCUAUUCAUCUCACCCCUUUUCCCCCCAAACUUUUGGAAAGCACAGGUCUUCUUACUGUGUCCAUGGUUUUGCCUUUUACAGAAUGUCAUAUAGUUGGAAUCCUAUAGUAUGUAGCCUUUUCAGACUGUCUUUUUCACAGCCAUAUGUAUUUAAGGUUCCUCACCUCUUUUCAAGCUUGACAGCUCAUUUUUUUAAAUCAGUGAAUAAUGUUCUGUUGUAUGUUUGCACCACAGCCAGUUUAUUUAUUUACCUAUUGAAGAACAUUAUUUACCUAUUAAGAACAUUAUUUACCUAUUGAAGACCAUCUUGGUUGGUUCCAUGUUUUGGCAAUUAUGUAUAAAAGUGCUCUAAACAGUCACCUGCAGAGUUUUGUGCAGAUGAAAGUUUUCACCUCUUUUGGAUUAAGGCCAAAGAGUGUGAUUGCUGGAUUGUAUGUAAGUGUGUAUUUAGCUCUGUAAGAAACUGGCAAACUGUCUUCCAAACUAGUCAUAGGACUUUGCAUUUUCACCAACAAGCUCUUGUUAUUCUACAUCCUCACCAGCAUUUAGUGUAGCCCCUGUUUUGGAUUUUAGCCAUUCUAAUAUGUGUGUGGCAGUAUGCCAUUGUUAUUUUCAAUUUCCAAUGACAUACUGUUGAGCAUAUUUUCAUGUGCUUAUUUGCCAUGCUUAUAUGUUCUUUAGUAAGGAUCUGUAUCUUUUGCCAUUUUAUAAUUGGGUUGUUCAUUUCUUAUUCUUGGGUUUUAAGAGCUCUGGAAUUUUUUUGCAUAUUUUUGAUACCAGUCUUUUAUCAGUUAUGUGUUUUGCAAAUAUUUUCUCCCAUUCUGUGGCUUGUCUUUUUAUUUUUUAACAGUGUCUGACAAUGCAGAAAUGUUAUUUUUAAUAUGGUUCAACUUAGCAAUUUUUCCUUUCAUGGAUCAUGUUUUUGCUGUUUUUGUUUUUGUUUUUGUUUGUGACAGAGUCUCGCCUUGUCGCCCAGGCUAGAGUGCAGUGGUGCAAUCUUGGCUCACUGCAACCUCCUCCUCCUGGUUUCAAGCAGUUCUCCUGCCUCAGCCUCUGGAGUAGCUGGGACUACAGGCACAUGCCACCACGCCCAGCUAAUUUCUGUAUUUUUAGUAGAGACGGGGUUUCACCAUGUUGGCCAGGAUGGUCUCGAUCUCUUCACCUCGUGAUCCACCUGACUUGGCCUCCCAAAGUGCUGGGAUUACAGGCGUGAGCUACUGCGCCUGACAUUUUUGGUGUUUUAUCAAAGGAGCAAAACCUGAGGUAAUUCAGAUUCUGCUCUUUGUUAUCUUCUAGGAGUUUCGUGGUUUUUCCUUUUAUAUUGGUCUGUGAUCCAUUCUGAGUAAUUUCUCUGAAAGUUGUCAGGUCUAGGUUUAGGGUUUUUUUUUUUUUCUUUUUUUCUCUUGCAUGUGGAUGUCCAGUUGUUCAGUACUGUUUGUUGAAAAAUUAUUCAUUCUCAAUUGAAUUGUCUUUGCUCUUUCCUCAAAGAUAAGCUGACUGUAUUUUUAUGGGUCAAUUUCUGAGCUUUCUCUUUUGUUUUAUUGAUGUUUCUCUAUUAUUUUUUACCACUACCAUGUUGUUUUGAUUACUGUAGCUUUAUAGUAGUGCUUAGAGUUGGGUAGUGUCAUUCCUAUAACUGUCCUUUUAAAAUAUUUUCUUGGUUAUUCUGAGCCUUUUGCCUUUCCAUACAAACUUUAGAAUCAGUUUGUCAAUAUCCACAAACUAACUUUGUGGAAUUUUGAUUGGGAUUGCAUUGAAUAUGUAAAUGUAGUUGGGAAGUACUGACAUUUUAACAAUGUUGAAGCCUUCUUUACUUGAAUGUGGAUUAUCUCUCCAUUUAUUUAGAUCUUCUUUGAUGUUUUUACAGUUUUGUCAUUUUCUUCAUAUAGAUUCUAUAUUUAUAUUUAUUUUGUUAUAUUUGUACCUAAGAAUUUCAUUGUUAUUGGUGCUAGCCUAAAUGUCACUGAAUUUUUAAAUUUCAAAUUCUAACUACAUUACUGAUAUAUAGGACAGUAAUUGACAUUUGUAUAUUAAUCUUAUAUUGUGCAAAUUGCUAUAAUUUCUCAUUAAAAUUGGUUAUUCUAA